rnacentral:rRNA from 1 species
ACUGCGUACGGCUCAUUACAUCAGCUAUAACUUUCUUUGAUCAUAAAUUCUAAAUGGAAUAACCGAGGAAAAGCCUGGGCUAAUACAUGCGACAAUUCCGGUAGUAAUAUCGGAAUGCUUUUAUUAGAUCAAAACCUUCUAGUUCUUUUACCGGAACUGUUUGUUGGUGACUCUAAAUAACUUUGUGUUGAUCGUAUGACCUUUGUGUCGACGACAUAUCUUUCAAGUGUCUGACUUAUCAACUUUAGACGGUACAUUAUAUGUCUACCGUGGUUGUAACGAGUACAGAGAAUCAGGGUUUGGUUCUGGAGAGGCCGCCUGAGAAACGGCGACCACUUCCAAGGAAGGCAGCAGGCGCGCAAAUUACCCACUCUCAAAACGAGGAGGUAGUGAAGAGAAAUAACGAUGUUAGUCUUUUCUAGGCUGACAAUCGGAAUGGAAACACUGUAAACAGGUUAUUGAUUAACAAUUGGAGGGCAAGUCUGGUGCCAGCAGCCGCGGUAAUUCCAGCUCCAAUAAGGAAAACUAAAGUUGCUGUGUUUAAAAAGCUCGUAGUUGAAUUUCGGGUAUUUGUUGCUAGCUGGUCUUAAUGGCCAUGUUGGUUAACAGAUCCUCAUUUGCUGGACGGCUGGCGAUGAUCUUUAUCGAUUGUCGUCAGUUGCCAGAACGUUUACUUUGAGAAAAUUAGAGUGCUAAAAGCAGGCUCACGCCUAUAUAUAUUGCAUGGAAUAAUGAAAUAAGAUCUCGAUUUUAUUUCGUUGGUUUUAGAAAUUGAGAUAAUGAUUAAUAGGAUCAGAGGGGGGCGUACGUACUGUGGUGUGAGAGGUGAAAU